CUCAUUGUUAGAAAUUUUGUCCUAAUAUUCUGAUAGUCUUAUUGUAAUGUUCAGUGUGAUAUGUAUGACCUAGUAUUUGAAUAUUGAAAGAGGGAUUCAUGAUAACUCAAUAAUGGAAUGAUUUGUAUGCUAAAACACACAUUAAAAAAAUAGAGCCAGCCUGGACCCCAAGCCUGCUACCAUGGAUGUGCUUAACUUUAAGCACAUGAAUCUAAUGCUUAAAGUUAGGCAUGUGCAUAAGCAUUGGCAGGAUUGUUCUGGAUUGUAUUAUACCAUGUGAAGAAGCAGCAGCUAUGUAUGAGGCUACGUCCAAACAGGGAUAAAAACCCCAAGCUUAUGGGGGCUCAGGGUCUGCGGCUGAGAAAUUGCUUUGUAGGUGUUCUGGCUUGGGCUGGAGCCUGAGCUUUGGGACAUUGUGAGGGUGGAGGGUCCAAGAGCUUGGAAUCCAGCCCGAUCCUGAAUGUGUGUGCAGUGAUUUUUAGCCCCGCAGCUUGAGCCCAGGGCAGCCGUGGCCACAGAUCUUUUAUCCCUGUGUAAACAAACCCUGAGAGGCCACAUAACUUUCCUUUGCUAUUUCCUUUGCUAGACAUGCACAGAGAGGAUAUUACAGCAUCAGUGAUUCACAGAAGGGUAUUCAACAUAUUUUUUCAAACAAUAUUAUUGUGCGGUCUUGUCACUUAGUAGCUAAUACUAUUAACUACUGAAAUGUAAUAGAUCAACCUGAAUAAGUAUCUUCCACUUCCUCUCCAAGAGUACCUCUGAUCCCUGAGGGUGAUGGAGUCCCUUGUUCCUUUCUCCUCCCUGAUCCCCUUUAGGACCAAUGAGACCUGUGCUCAGAGCGACCAGUGUUCCAGUUAGUGACCGGGUGUACAAAGGACUAACAACCCGAUUAUCAUUUGGAUAUUACCAAACUGCUACAGCAACCACAUAAAAAUAAAGUUUAUUCCUUGGGCAAGAGAGGGAUAAAAUAAAAGUAUAGGGGAACAGGCAGAGGUCUCAGGGAUGUUAACUAAACAAGGCCCCAACCAAUCUUGCAACAACUGAUAGCCCACAACAAAAUCAAUAUAAUAAGAAACUCUCACCUCUCCUCAGAGUCCCUGUCACAAUCUCAAGAGUUAACUGCAACUUCCCCUCACCUCCUUCCCCCACGUCUUCCUUGAGGGCACCCCCUUAAGGGUUCCAUUCUUAGCUGUCACCUCUCCAGGCAGAGACCUGUAUCUCUCUCCCGUUCCAGACCAGGGGUUUAGGUUUACUGUCCCGCUGCACCUAACUCUCCUCAGCAGGUGUGACCGGGAUCCACUACCUGUGGUUAACCUCUGUCCAGGGGCUCUAAUAGUGUACACCAGUUAGCAACCAGCCUUCAAAAAGUAAGCUACAUUUAUUCUUAGGGUAAAAGCAUUACAGAGAAGACCUAUAAAAACAAUAAAAUAACCUACAUGCAUGCUGGAAGCUUACCAGAGCUUAAUGGAGAAAACAUGGAAUAGGGACUGCUUGUGAGAGAGGAGGAACAUGUGCACUCGGGGAAAACAAGGAGAGAGACAUAGAAGAGAGACUCUGCUCACAUGCUGUGUCCCUACUUAAAAACCUCUGUAUGUGCUGUGCAAAACCAGUGUUGUUUUUCAGAUUGUUUAGAAGUGAUGAUUUCAUUGUAUCUGAUGGCGUUCAUCCACCUUCCAGGAUAUUGUAAGGUAUCCUUGGCAAGGAGGAUCCUUGCCACAUAAAGAGCUCCCUCUCUUUACCUUUGUCUGUUAUUGAAAUACAGCAGAUUGCACUAAAUGGCAUAUGUGGUACAGCUGUACCACAUAUAAGACUAUAUCACAAUUAUGGUCCCCUGCAAAGUCUUUAUCCCUCCCACCCCUGUAGAGGUUACUCAGUUUGACCUCUCUAACAUAUUUCAAUGUGUUCAGGAGAUUUUUGUUUCCAAAACAUUUGAGGCAAAGUUUUCAAUUCUGGGUCCUUAAUGCGGUAUUACUAACUUCAAGUGAUAAAAAAUUAGGAGCCAUGCCUAAAAAAAAUGAGAUUGGCUUAAAAAUAAUAAAUGUUAGAUUCUUUGUAUUUGCUUUCUGGUUUUUGCUUCUUCAGGGUUCCCAUUUUCAAGCUUUUGAUUGCAACCACAAGGUCUAGAAAUAUAUUCAAGAUGAGAUUCUCAUGUAAUCACUUGACCUCAGGAUCCAGGACUUAAAUAAAAACAUCAAAUAUCUCAAGACUCAAAAUAAAACUGUGGUAGGGACUUAAGCUCUUAUUUCCAUUCCUUUUUUCUUCUUCUUCUUUUCUUCUUUGUAUGGCUGAUGUAGAGCAACAACUAUAAUUUUACAUGGAAAUGGUUAAGCCAGAUAAUUAUAUCAGGAGUCGCAGAGUGCAUCACUGUGAUGCCUCCUUCAUAUUUGUGAAUUGGGCAUUGAAUUGUUAUAUAUUCCAUGGUCUGCUCCGGGUUAUCACAGUCGCACACUGGAGAGUCUAAUUUUCCAUUUGUGCAGCAAGUAUCCAUAUAUGCUAACUACAAGAUAUUAAGAGGUGCUAAGAACUUGCCACUCCCAGUGAUUCCUGCACCUUUGAAAAACAGGUUGUUGUUGUUGUUGUUUAGGUGUCUCACAACAGACACCCGGGUUUCAAAAUUUUGACAAUAAAGAAUUAUAGAAAGAACUGGAAGUUAUGGUUCAGAGACUGUUGUAAUGGAAAUUAUAUUUCCCAGUGCCUCAACCCUCCCCGCAUAUUACAGUUGACCCUUACUUCAAAAUCAAAAAGUGGGCUAGUUUGCGAUGAACACAGGAUGAGUCAUACUUAUGAUUCAACAGUGUCCCUGACAGUAAACCCAUAACUAUAGCAGAUUACAGAAUGUGCAAUGCUAAAUAUGUGUACUUUUCAAAGGAGCAAUUUUUCACCCUCAGCUUUUGUAUAUCUUUAGUGACCUGGUGUGGUGGUGAAAUGUAGUCCUAGUUUAAUGUUGCUCUUAAAAAACUACUAUUAUAAAUUCAAUUGUGUAGAUUAUUCUCCAGUCUAAUAAAUAUUGUGUCAGUGCUGCACUGACACAAUAUCCAUGUUGCAACUCAGAGCUCUAUAGGACACCUAAAGCGUGUGCCUCAGUGGUAUGGCCUCCCUCACUUGUUUUCAAAUGAGAUGAUGGAUGAACCUCAUGGUCUUGCAUCUAUCCCAAAUUCUCCUAUCACAUCUUGUCUAAAAAGGUGGUGAGAGACAUCCAUUUCUUUUGUAGAGUGUGUGCAUUUGAAAGAUCUAUUGUACUUUCAAUUGAUUCAGUUCUUGUGAAAAAAAUAUUAAAAUUAAAGUAAAUGUAAGGCAAUAUUGUGGUUUAAGUCAAUUAAAUGAGGGUGCAGUAAACUGCUCUCUCAGUGUUUCAUGACAUGCUUUGCUUGUAUCUAAGGAGAUCUCAUCUUACUUGAAAAUCUAGUCUGAAAAACAGGCUGAGUUUAAGUCCAGAUGGAAAUAGAAUAAUUUUAAACGUCAAGGGCAGAUCCUCAGCAGGUAUAAAAUGCCAUAGUCCAGUUGAGUAAUAACAAUUUACACCAUGGUUCUGUAGGACAGAGCUAACUUCCAUAAUACUUGUUUAGCAAAUGUAAGACCCUAGUCAAGAAUGCUCUUCUGGGCUUAAGAUGUGUAUCUGUUCUAGUCAAAUGUAUUUUAUUUCUCAAAAAAAUGACUAGCUUUCAAAUUUAAAUCAAUAAAGAUGUAACUUUAAAACAGUAUAGUUCUAGCUGCAUAACUCCCAAUGAUUUAAGUGGACUCUGUGAACCUGUGAAUGGGGACUUUAUGAACCAAAAUGCACCCUCUUUUAAAACGUUCCAUACUAUCUCACUGGAGGCUGCCUUAUAUAUGUGUUGGUCAUUUCAGAGUAUAUCAUAUUUCUUAUCAAAGCUUUAAUAUUGGUGUCAUUCACCAAUCAACUGAAGAAGGACCUGAAUUCUUUAAAAUAAGAGAUUUAAAUCCUUUGGCUGUAGCACACAUGGAUGCAUUUUGGAAUUUACUUUUUCUUCUCAUUAGAAAAAUGUAGGAAUAUGCUCAGGAUAAUAGUGUGUUAACAAGAUUGCACAGCUCUGAAAUGCCAUAAAACCUGUUACAUAAGAGUGAUAAAACAUUAUUCGCAUAGGCACAUUUUCAGACUUCAGUUAACUUAAAAAUCAAGAUGGUAUGUCAGCUUCAGUAUCUUCAAUCAAUUGAUGACAUCUUUAAAAGAAACAAAUAUAUUUCUUAUAGUGUAUCAAUUCAAGGUUUACUUAUUUCAGCUGCUUUUAAUUCUUUUCUUAUUCUUCUUGACAAAUCUUGUCGAAAUGCCAGGGAAAAUACCAUCACAUUGUCAAAUUAACCUUUUUCCGUCAUUAUGUAAAUUUUUGCUAAAUAAUAAAAAAAUUAAAGCUUUGAUCAACAAAAAAGAUUAUUUUUGCCCAUCAAACAAAGUCCUCUAUCCCCUAACAAAGCCUGGAGUAGAUUAAUUCUUGCUAGGACAAAAUUAGUUAGCACAGACUGAGGGCCAUAUUAAUAAGGAACCAUUAUUCUUGUUGAUUAUUUACAAGGGUAGCGUUGUGGGAAUACUCAUAUGAAUAAGUGCUCACCAGCAGUAGGUUGCACAGUUGACCUUAAGGAUAUUCUUUUCCUAGUCUACUGUUGUUUAAAAUAUGCCAAUAAUGUUGGUUGUGGCUGCAUAUUUAAUUUUGAGUUUCAUUUUGUAGUUAAAAGGCAAAGCAGGGAUUCAGACUCUUUGUUAUGUUUUUAAAAUGUAGUAUCCUCUAAAUGGUAACACUGUUUGAGUACAGAAUGAAUUUUCUCUGGAUUUACAAGUAAAUCAAUUAAUUAGUUUGUCUUAAAAUUUAUUUUAAAAUGACUGUCUUGGAUGAGUCAUUUCUUUUCUCGAAAUGAUUUUAUUAAUGGAUAACCGCAGAUUCAUCAAAAUUCCCAUAUAGUUAAAAUCCUUUGAAAUUUUGCACAUAAGGCUAUAUUUGUAGAAAUUAGGUAGUAAUUAAGUUACUGAUUGUUGCAUCUAUUUUAUGAUUAUAUAUACUACAAUAAAGGGUCAGGUCAGUGGCUCAGAUAGUUCUUAAGUGGGGCCAUUGUGAUAUCAGAGAUCAUGUU